ACACUUGCAAACGUUCGCCCCUCUUCUCCUCUCUGACCCACCCCGUUCACCAUCGUCCCUGCGCCACCCUGCUAGCCGCUCGUCAUCGUCGUCGCCGUCGCGCUUCCUUGCGCGCUUGGAGCAGCCGCGCCACCUUAACAACUAAAGGUAUUGCUCUAAUCUCUUUUAUUUGGCUUGGGCAGUGGGUAGAUUGGCUGAACUUGGCUUUGGGUUUUGUUGGAUUGAAGUUUGAUUUUCAAUUUGUUGGAUUGGGCAGUGGGUAUUUGAGUAUUUCAAUUAACUUAGGCAGAUGGGUAUUUCAAUUUGUUGGAUUUGUUUGAUUUAUGUUUUUGAUUGGGCAGUGGGUAUUUCGAAUUGGGCAGUGGCUGCGGGUAUUUUGAAUUGGGCAGUGGGUAUUUCAAUUUGUUGAUUGAAGUUUGAUUUAUGUUUUUGAUUUGUAUUGGCAGCCAUGAAGAGGAAGAGGAAGGAGGAGGAGAAUGAGGAUGAUGAGUGAAGAGGGCUAACAUUUUAGUGUGUUUUAUUAAGUAUUAAUUAUUA
rnacentral:lncRNA from 1 species